AUGGCGAUGGGGCUCCGAAAGGGGCAAAGCUUGCUGACCGCAUCGGCGGUGCAUGCCAGUGGGUGGGCUCUCCCUUUUCGCGCGCGGUUUAAAGCGGCAGCUCGCAGCCUUUUCCUCCUUCCCUCCAUCCAUUCGACGACGCCGGAGAGUGAGAGAGUGGCCUUCUGUAUACAUAGCAACCUCCGUAGCAGCAGCAGGAGCACUGUGAUCUGCGAGUUCGCGGCGGCGCCGGCCAUGCAGCAAGAGCUCGCCGCGCUGGCGUACCAGUCGGCCGGUUUCGUCGGCCUCCCGACGUCCUACCUGCCGCCGCACCCGCACGACGUCGACGUGGACCUCGUCGACGGGUGGUUGGUCGGCGGCAGCGGCGGGGCUGGCGACAAUGGCCGCGGCCCGCCGUCGUGCGGCAGCGGCCUGAGCCACGUCGCCGACGCCGUGAGCGAGACGAGGAAGGCGAGGCGGCUGGCGUCGAACCGCGAGUCGGCGCGGCGGUCGCGGAUGCGGCGGCGGAGGCAGCUGGACGAGCUGUCGGCGUGCGCCGCGGAGCUGCGGGCGGCCAACCAGCGGCUCGUCGUGGAGCUCAACCGCGCCGAGGCCAGGCACGCGCAGGUGGCCCGGGACAACGCGCGGCUCCGGGAGGAGCUGCGCCGCCUGCGGGGGAGGCUCGCCGCCGAGGAGGAGGCCGCCGAUCGAGACGCCGGCGACGAGGCCGCCGCCGCAAGAACGCCGUAG
rnacentral:rRNA from 1 species